CCUGAAGAUACCUUCGUGCGCAGUGCUCACACAGAUUGUCUGAUAGAAAGAUAAAGAAGCAAGACGGCUGCGAAGUCGAGACACGCGUAUGUGUCCCCUUCGUCUAGCGGUUAGGACUCCGCCCUUUCACGGCGGCAACAGGGGUUCGAAUCCCCUAGGGGACGCCACUUGCUUGGUGACAGGUGAAAGGUGUUGCCCACAUAUCUUAAAGAUGACUUGCGAGUCAUGUUUAAGAUAUUGCUCUUUAACAAUCCGGAACAAGCUGAAAAUUUGAAACGACACAGGGUCGCAUUCUUCCGUAAUAAAGAAUGAUGACAAUGUGUUCGAGUCUCUCAAAAGCUUACAGCUUACAAGCUAACUGUGGUGCCGUUACGGUAAAACAGAUAAACGCCUGUGGGUUGUGAG
rnacentral:misc_RNA from 1 species